UAUUGGGCAAUGGAGGAAACUCUGACCCAGCAACGCCGCGUGAAUGAUGAAGGUCUUCGGAUUGUAAAGUUCUUUUCUAAGGGAAGAAGAAAGUGACGGUACCUUAGGAAUAAGCCCCGGCUAACUACGUGCCAGCAGCCGCGGUAAUACGUAGGGGGCUAGCGUUAUCCGGAAUUACUGGGCGUAAAGGGUGCGUAGGUGGUUUCUUAAGUCAGAGGUGAAAGGCUACGGCUCAACCGUAGUAAGCCUUUGAAACUGGGAAACUUGAGUGCAGGAGAGGAGAGUGGAAUUCCUAGUGUAGCGGUGAAAUGCGUAGAUAUUAGGAGGAAUACCAGUUGCGAAGGCGGCUCUCUGGACUGUAACUGACACUGAGGCACGAAAGCGUGGGGAGCAAACAGG
rnacentral:rRNA from 1 species